rnacentral:rRNA from 1 species
UACGUAGGGUGCGAGCGUUGUCCGGAAUUAUUGGGCGUAAAGGGCUCGUAGGCGGUUUGUCGCGUCGGGAGUGAAAACCUCGGGCUUAACUCGGGGCUUGCUUUCGAUACGGGCAGACUGGAGGUAUGCAGGGGAGAACGGAAUUCCUGGUGUAGCGGUGAAAUGCGUAGAUAUCAGGAAGAACACCGGUGGCGAAGGCGGCCCUCUGGACAGAUACUGACGCUGAGACGCGAAAGCGUGGGGAGCAAACAGG